rnacentral:rRNA from 1 species
GACGAACGCUGGCGGCAUGCCUAAUACAUGCAAGUCGAGCGAACAGAUGAAGUGCUUGCACUUCUGACGUUAGCGGCGAGCGGGUGAGUAACACGUAAGGAAUCUACCUAUAAGCGGGGGAUAACAUUCGGAAACGGGUACUAAUACCGCAUAAUAUCUUCUUCCGCAUGGAAGAAGAUUGAAAGACGGCUCUGCUGUCACUUAUAGAUGACCUUGCGGUGCAUUAGUUAGUUGGUGGGGUAACGGCCUACCAAGACGAUGAUGCAUAGCCGACCUGAGAGGGUGAUCGGCCACAUUGGGACUGAGACACGGCCCAAACUCCUACGGGAGGCAGCAGUAGGGAAUCCUCCGCAAUGGGCGACAGCCUGACGGAGCAAUGCCGCGUGAGUGAAGAAGGCCUUCGGGUCGUAAAACUCUGUUAUAAGAGAAGAACAAAUUGUAGAGUAACUGCUACAGUCUUGACGGUAUCUUAUCAGAAAGCCACGGCUAACUACGUGCCAGCCGCCGCCGUAA